rnacentral:misc_RNA from 1 species
UUUUACUUUAUUAUCAGUGUUAUUUUUUUGAUGUAACUCAAGGCAUUUAUGAGAUUCGAGUUCUGUUGUACAAGAAAACAUUAAAAAAAUAACACUGAUAAUAAAGUAAAAAAAUUUUAAUACGUCGAAGGAUAUAAAACUCCCUCUACUGUACAAAGAUAACCUGAUACUUUUAUUUUAUCAUCAUCUGAGAUGGCUUGUAAAAGUAGCAUAAAAACAUUACAUAUUCAAACAGCCUUCCAGUUCUGAUUUCUACACAGAGAUACAACCUUUAAGCUGAGCAGCAGAUGGAUCAGUGAACAGUGGCUUUUAAACAGGCUAAAACAACCAUUUUUAACACAAGCCCAGCUCACGUGUCUGCAUUAAUUCCAAAGAUCCGAACCUUGUGCAUAUUUGGGAACUUGGCAAUAACGAGCACUAUCACUGCAAGUGUGUUGAAGAAGAGCAUUGGAUGUUGAUA